UGCGUAAUGGCGGCGGUCGGCCUGACGAC
rnacentral:sRNA from 1 species